AGAGCCCACAGUCUUCACAGAAGCCCUGCUCUCGCGCUCUCUCAGCCCCAAACAGCUCCCCGUAGGACCGGAAAACACGGGGAACGGCCACCGGUGAUGGGGGAAAGAAGAGUGCUUUAUCACUGAACAUUUUUAGCGCUUGGCUGUGAUGUCGCAGGGUGAAGCUUUGCCGUUGUUUGCGCUGGAUUGUCGCCAUUACACUGGCCCUUGCUCUAACACUAUCACCGCAUUUAGGCACGGAUUGUGAACCGUGCUGGUCUGACAGAUCCUUGUUUACUCUCACCACAGGGUCUAUCUCUGCCCGUGUGCCGGCACGCUCGUGAGCGACAAGGACUUUUUUUCUUUUUCGAAGAGGUCAAAAACAUCUGUGGCGUCGAAAGAGAGGAAAGAGCGAGAGAGAGAAAAGGGAGACUGAGGUGUGAAAGCUGAAUUAGGAGGGAGGCUUCGCAGUACGGAGGGAAAAAACGUGGAACGCAGCUGCCGAAUUAUUGCAGAUGUAAAGAAGAAGAAGAUAAUGAUAACAUAAAAAAAUGGUUGAGCUUAACGUGACGACGCUAGAACGGAAAGGAGGAUCCGCGAGCUUCAGAAGAAUGGGAGUGCCGCAGCUAGUGAAGUGGCCCUUAGCCUCCGACAGCCACACACAAGACCCCUUCUGGAGGUGGUGGUGGUUGGGGGGGUUGCCAGAGGGACAGAAGAGAAAAAAGGAGACGUCUUGGAAGACACUACGAAGACACC